CAACGCCAACGCAACGCCAAAGUUGUAUAGGCCCGUCCACAUACAACUUUGGCGUUGCGUUGGCACUGGCGUCGCUUUGACAGCAGCGCGAGUAAUGCCCGUG